GUCAGAAAUGAACAUGAGCAACCUGGAAUCAAAGAGCAUGACAUGUCGGAGAGAUGAAUCAUUAAGUGCACACAACGUGACAAAAGACUCUGAGUUGGACUUCACGUAUCAAGAUUGUGAACCUAAUGAGACUCGUCUUUCCACCGGAC